rnacentral:rRNA from 1 species
UACAGAGACCCCGAGCAUUAUCCGGAUUUAUUGGGCGUAAAGCGUUCGUAGGCGGUUUUGUAAGUCAUUUGUUAAAUCCUCAGGCUUAACUUGGGGGCUGCGGGUGAUACUGCAAGGCUAGAGAGUGGGAGAGGUAAGCGGAAUGCCCGGUGUAGCGGUAAAAUGCGUUAAUAUCGGGUAGAACACCAAAGGCGAAGGCAGCUUACUGGAACAUUUCUGACGCUGAUGAACGAAAGCGUGGGUAGCGAAAGGG